rnacentral:misc_RNA from 1 species
GAUGAAGAACGUAGCGAAAUGCGAUAAGUAAUGUGAAUUGCAGAAUUCAGUGAAUCAUCGAAUCUUUGAACGCACAUUGCGCCCGUCAGUAUUCUGGCGGGCAUGCCUGUUCGAGCGUCAUUACGCCCCUCAAGUCCCCUGUGGACUUGGUGUUGUGGAUCGGCGAGGCUGGUUUUCCAGCACAGCCGUCCCUUAAAUUAAUUGGCGGUCUCGCCGUGGCCCUCCUCUGCGCAGUAGUAAAACACUCGCAACAGGAGCCCGGCGCGGUCCACUGCCGUAAAACCCCCCAACUUUUUAUAGUUGACCUCGAAUCAGGUAGGACUACCCGCUGAACUUAAGCAUAUCAAUAAGCGGAGGA